rnacentral:rRNA from 1 species
AUCGAACGCUGGCGGCAGGCCUAACACAUGCAAGUCGAGCGGAGCGGCGGACGGGUGAGUAAUGCCUAGGAAUCUGCCUGGUAGUGGGGGAUAACGUCCGGAAACGGGCGCUAAUACCGCAUACUAUCAGAUGAGCCUAGGUCGGAUUAGCUAGUUGGUGGGGUAAAGGCCUACCAGGGCGACGAUCCGUAACUGGUCUGAGAGGAUGAUCAGUCACACUGGAACUGAGACACGGUCCAGACGCCUACGGAAGGCAGCAGUAGGGAAUAUUAGACAAUGGGCGAAAGCCUGAUCCGGCCAUGCCGCGUGUGUGAAGAAGGUCUUCGGAUUUAAAAACACUUUAAGUUGGAAGACGUUACCAGCAGAAUAGGCACCGGCUAACUUCGUGCCAGCAGCCGCGGUAAUUC